GACGCACCCACUGUUUGGCCUCGGCAGCCUGAUGUUUCUCACCACACAGGAAGACAGUCAUGCUACAGGAAGACCUCGGACUUUGCAUCCAGCAGAUGGUUGUUCUAGGAAUUGCCAGAUUGACAACACACCACACACCCAGAAGGCACCCAAGUCACAGAGCCUGAUAUUGUUCCCAGAGCGCCAUUGCAUCACCCUUGACCACAAGACCUGCGUCAUUGGAUUUGUCUCCAAAACUUGGGACUCUGGAGAUAAAACGUCGUUGCAAGGCUACCUUUGCCACUGAAUCUUAGCAGCUUUUGAAGCAAAGCAUUUCAAUAUUUAGACACUGUGUGUUUCUAAUGGGUACUGGGAUCAAAAUAAUAAAAACUCAGCCUGCAAAGGGAGAAGAAUAGAAACCAGCAGAUUCAUUAUUUCACAGAAUGUUCCUCUCCUCUCAGACCCAUGAGAUGCUUGGUCCUGAGCCUAAAGGAUGCAGGGGCCUGGCUGGGACCCAGCUGGGAAGCUGAUGCUGUUCUCCAGGAAACCUCUCUCCGCAGCCCGAAUGCUUGACUUUGAACUUUUCCAAGACUUCCAGCACCAGAGACUCAGGACUGACCAACUUUCUCAAUAUCCUAUUCCCCCAACCCCACUCUGGGCUCCCAGUCAAUCUCCCUCCCCCCUUUUUCCCCUGUAAAAAACCUAAACUGCUCAGUUAUUCUCCCUCAACCCCUGGAUCACAUCAGCCCCAUGGAGAGCUCCACUCUGGUCCACCACCUCCAGCAGAGCCACUUAGCUGGGAGGGCCAAGGGCGCAAGCCCACCGGGAGCCCACACCGGGUAUCUGGGAUCCUGGAAUUCCUCACCCCAAAUGCUAACCCUAAUUUUAGAACCUGAUCACAAAGGAUUUCAUCCUUGAAAGAAACUGUUCCAGCAAUCUUGAUUUUGACAUGAGUCUGGAAAGGAUCUUGAGCACUACAUGGGUCCCACUGGGGGUCCCACUGGGGGUCUCCUCCCAGUGGCUCCUGUUCCCUCCCGGCACAGCUGGCCUUUGCUCUGCACCUCCACUCCGCACUGAGGUCCCUUUGGCUAGUCCUCAUGGAGGGGCCUCAGGAGAAGUGGGGAAAGCACAGGUUCCCCACAAAAGACUCCAAUGUGGGCUCAGCCUAGUCAUGUGACCCUAGACAAGCUUUUAAUUUGCCUGCACCCCACAGCACAAGUAACCUCCCCUGCUGUUAUGGGUUGAGUUAUGUUCCUCCAAAAAAGAUCUGUUGCAGUCCUAACCCCCAGGACCUGAAAAUGUGACCGUAUUUGGGCAUAGGGUCUUUACAGAGGUCAUCAAGGUAAAGUGAGGUCGUUAGGAUGGGCCCUAGUGUGAUAUGAUUGGCGUCCCUACAAAAAGGGGAAAUUUGGACACGGAAACAGACAGGCAUUGAGGGAAGAUGAUGUGAAGAGACACAGGGAGAAGAUGUCAUCUACAAGCCACAGAGAGAGGCCCAGAGCAGACCCUCCCUUACUGCCCUCAGAAGGAGCCAGCCCUGCCAAUGCCUCGAUCUUGGACUUCCAGCCUCCAGAGCUUUCAGACAAUAAACGUCUGCUGUUUCAGCCCC
rnacentral:lncRNA from 1 species